GGCUGUCAAUGCGUCUAACCUGCUUCUGGUUCAAGCCUGAGAUCUCUGCUUCCUGAUUGGCCAAGAUGUGGGAAGCUUCCAUUUCUGGCUCCUGACAACAUGGACUAUUUCCUGUUGCUGCAUCUUACCAUGGUUGACUGAAAUCCCUCUGAAACGUGGGGUCAGAGUACAUUCUUCGCCUGUGAAGUCGCUUUUAUCAGGUUAUCGUCACAGCAAGGAGAAAGAAAGAAGUAUUAUAUUUAUUAACAUCCAAAGACCUGCUAUGAUCUGAGGUGGCUGUUGGGAAAUUCUGAAUUGUGCCAGUUGAAUAUAUCGACUGGCCAUUCCGCCAAUAGAACAGUCCUUCUGGAACAGAAUUUCAGUCAGAAAGUGAAGAGUUUAGUUUCACCAUGUUCCUUGCCUCGGUGUGUUCCCUGACCGCAGGCCCCAAAGCAGCAGCCCGUCUAAUCACAGAGAUCUGAUCAAGGCAGACCUCCAAAAUCAAGAACCAGAACG